rnacentral:hammerhead_ribozyme from 1 species
AUCCAGCUGACGAGUCUCGAAUAGGGCGGAAUGCACGUCCUGGAU